rnacentral:rRNA from 1 species
AACGAACGCUGGCGGCAUGCCUAACACAUGCAAGUCGAACGAGACCUUCGGGACUAGUGGCUCACGGGUGCGUAACGCGUGGGAACCUGCCCUUAGGUUCGGAAUAACUCUCCGAAAGGGGUGCUAAUACCGGAUAAUGUCUUCGGACCAAAGAUUUAUCGCCUUUGGAUGGGCCCGCGUUGGAUUAGCUAGUUGGUAGGGUAAAAGCCUACCAAGGCGUCGAUCCAUAGCUGGUCUGAGAGGAUGAGCAGCCACACUGGGACGAGGACACGGCGCAGACUACUACGGGAGGCAGCAGUGGGGAAUAUUGGACAACGGGCGAAAGCCUGAUCCAGCAAUGCCGCGUGAGUGAUGAUGGCCUUAGAGUUGUAAAGCUCUUUUACCCGGGAUGAUAAUGACAGUACCGGGAGAAUAAGCACCGGCUAACUCCGUG